CUUGGUCUAUGGUCGCAUUUCCUGUGUAUAUGAACCAUUAUGUGUAUGAAAUGCGUGUAUAUGAACUGUGUGCAUGGGAUCUGGGAGGGGAGGGUUAACCGCAAAUGACACUAGGGUUAAUGCCUGCCGUAGUACGAAGGGCGGAUUGGUUUUGGGGAUGUGCUGGAACAGCAAAUGACACAACGGUUAACUCCUGCCACAGUACGAACGACAGACUGGUUUUGGGGGUGCGCUGGAACCGCAAAUGGCAUUGCGGUUGGUUUUUGUUUGCGUCUAUUUUUUAUGUUUAAUUAUUAUUUUCGGAUUAAAUUUUUAA
rnacentral:lncRNA from 1 species